UACGAAGGGGGCUAGCGUUGCUCGGAAUCACUGGGCGUAAAGCGCACGUAGGCGGCUUUCUAAGUCAGGGGUGAAAUCCCGGAGCUCAACUCCAGAACUGCCUUUGAUACUGGGAAGCUCGAGUCCGGAAGAGGUGAGUGGAACUGCGAGUGUAGAGGUGAAAUUCGUAGAUAUUCGCAAGAACACCAGUGGCGAAGGCGGCUCACUGGUCCGGUACUGACGCUGAGGUGCGAAAGCGUGGGGAGCAAACAGG
rnacentral:rRNA from 1 species